CCUACGGGUGGCAGCAGUGGGGUAUAUUGCACAAUGGGGGAAACCCUGAUGCAGCGACGCCGCGUGAGUGAAUAAGUAAUUCGUUGUGUAAAGCUCUGUCAGCAGGGAAGAAAAUGACGGUGCCUGAGUAAGAAGCCCCGGCUAACUCUGUGACAGCAACCGCGGUAAUACGUAGGGGGCCAGCGUUAUCCGGAUUGACGGGGUGUAAAGGUAGCGUAGACGGCAGUGCAAGUCUGGAGUGAAAGGCGGGGGCUCAACCCGCGGACUGCUCUGGAAACUGUACGGCUGGAGUGCAGGAGAGGUAAGUGGAAUGCCUAGGGUAGCGGUGAAAUGCGUAGAUAUCAGGAGGAACACCAGUGGCGAAGGCGGCUUACUGGACUGUAACUGACGUUGAGGCUCGAAAGCGUGGGGAGCAAACAGGAUUAGAUACCCCUGUAGUC
rnacentral:rRNA from 1 species